CUAGUUCAUUAAUUUAGUCUUUAUCUUGUUUUCUACACUGUGUGGAGAAGAGAAAAAAAGUUCUUCCAUCAGCAAAGAAAAUUACAUUAGUGUUAAAAUAUGGUUUAUGAGAACACGUUGUAUGUAUAUAGCAAUUCAGGGUUUUAAUACAAGCUUGUUUGAAAUGUAAUUAAGCAUGCUUGAAAACCGAGAUUUGCAAGGCUGUACAUUAUUUUAAAUAGACACAUACUGAAUGACAGAUCUGCUCUUGGAUCUUAUUACCCUUACCACAGUGUUUUGAAAAUGUCACUCAACCUCCCUAUUUUGGUUACUUACACAAAGAAUUAUCCCUGAUAGGAUUCUGUUUCAUUAACAUGUUCAGACAGUUUAGUCUUUAG